CCCUGUCUCAAAAAAAAAAACCAAAAAUAAAUAAAUUUUAAAGGGCAGUUACAGUCAGAACAUAAAAUCCAUUCCAGUCAUUGACUAGUAACACGGCACAGACAAGCCGUUUCACUUUUAUGGCCCAGUGUCUCACAGAGAUGGUGCCACCUCUUACUUAGCUCUUGGGAUUAAGGGUAAGUACUGAUCCCUGACAGGGUGUGUGCUAGACAGAUGGCAAUCUAUCAGUGAACUCUCAUUGUGUUUGCUGAUGGGAUUGUAGCACAGAGAGGCCUACGGUUUGGAUCUGGAAUAUCCCGCCAGGUCCAUGUGUUGAAGGCUCAGUCUCCAGCAUAUUGGGACAUGGGGCCUAGUAAAAGUUAGGUCCCUGGGGUCUUGCUCCUGACCCCACUCCACACCCUUUCUGCCUCUCAGCUGCUACAAGAUGAGCAGCUUUGCUCCACAGUGUGCUCUAAUCAUGAUGCUCUACCUUAGCACAGGCAAUAGACCUUCCUUUGCUUUAAGCUGGUUAAGCCACAGGCCCAGAAAGAUGACUCAGACAAGAAGCUAAAGGCCUGGUCCCUGAUGACAUCACAGCUUACAGCGCUUGACUUUGGAGAUGACAGGUCACACAGGCAGGGGCGGAUUUAGAACGCCUGUCUCUGGGGCAGCCAGAGAGCCCUCCAGUGAGAGCUGUCACGGGGAGGGGAGGGGUGAGAAAACCACACUGGGGAGCAGAGCGGAGGGAUGUGAGAUUGUGAGUUCUCAGCAGAAAUCCGAAAACAGGGAAAGGCUUUUUUGUCUACCUCACGAGGUCAGGGUGAAAACACACGGGAUUGGGAAUAUGAGCUCUUUUGAAACGAAACUGAGUGGAAAAAAGAAAAUAGCUUUGGUUCAGACAGUUUCAUGCGUUGCUGGUCUAGUUUUUUGUUUUGGGGUUUUUGAUGCUGGGAUCCAACCCAGAGCCUCAGAUAUGCUAGGCCAGUGCUCUACCACUGAACCACACUUACACCCGCCCCACCUCCUUACUCUAAAGGUUAAGAAACGUAAGGUGUGGAGAUGUACUAACUUGCCCAAGGUUGCACAGCCAGGAAAUGGGUAGACUGGGACUUAACCCCAGGUCAGUUCAACUAUGAGAGUCUCGGAGUUACUUCUCUGGAAGCAAAGGUAUAAGAACAGCCCAAGUGGAGUCAUAGGAAUGAGGAAGUCUGCCAAGGAGACUGGGAAGGAACCACCACAGGGGUGUGGCCUGUGCAUCAAACCCAAGUUGUAGGAUGCCUCCUUUCAUCCGGCUACAGCUGCUCAUCCAUCCCAGCCCCCCAGCCACUUGGCAGAUACUCACUGACUGCAAGGGACACACUGAUUUUCAUGUCGGUAGAAUCCUAAGUGGCAGUUGCACACGGUGUCCUGCUUCUCCUUACCUGAGAAAAGAGAGAAGGACUGAGGAGCUGUGCCUGCAAUCUGGGGACCAGAGGGAGGAAGAAGGGCACGGUGAAGGCACCACAUAGGAGCUCAGACCCGCAGACCAGAGAAUAAAGAAAGAUGCUGCCUCGUGGGUAGUGGGGACAGAAGGGAACCUCUGCCUGAAAGGCAGGAUACUCCUGAGGAGGGGAGAGGGCCUGGACUUGGGUGAGUGGUACUCACAGGGGAUAGCCACAGUGCCGUUGAAGCAGGAGCUGCAGUUCAUGCACUUGAAGAGGCUCCCACCCAAGUAGUUCUGGAAUUGGUUCUUCCUACAGCCACACACAGUGUCCUUGUCUGCUCUGCAAGGAGAAAUCUCCACCUGGGACAUUUCUGAAGAGGGAAGGAAAUGGUCAUGAGUCUCUCAUCUCUUUUCCCAUACAGAUCCUGACUCCCCCUCUUCACCAUGUGUGCCUCCAUCUCUGUAACAAACACUCCUGUGCACACAGACCCAGGCUGGCAUGUGCACGCAUGCUCCCACCAUACCCCCGAGCAGAUUCGACUCCUAACCCCUUGCAAACAUCCAUGUACACACAUGCCUGUUCACAAGUCUUCUCAGACUGCUCCCUCUUGAGCCCUUCCCCACUCCCAAGGCUUGCCUUCCCGACAUGUCUUGCAGCUGAGGCACUGUCUGAUGUGGUUCUCGGAAGCAGUAAAGGUGCCAUUAUGACA